rnacentral:rRNA from 1 species
GAUGAACGGCUGGCGGCGUGCUUAACACAUGCAAGCCGAACGGAGGUGCCGUUUGAAAGAGGAUUCGUCCAAUUGAUAAGGUUACUUAGUGGCGGACGGGUGAGUAACGCGUGAGGAACCUGCCUCAAAGAGGGGGACAACAGUUGGAAACGACUGCUAAUACCGCAUAAGCCCACGACCCGGCAUCGGGUUGAGGGAAAAGGAGCAAUCCGCUCUGAGAUGGCCUCGCGUCUGAUUAGCUAGUUGGCGGGGUAACGGCCCACCAAGGCGACGAUCAGUAGCCGGACUGAGAGGUUGGCCGGCCACAUUGGGACUGAGACACGGCCCAG